GACGAACGCUGGCGGCGUGCUUAACACAUGCAAGUCGAACGGAAAGGCCCUGCUUUUGUGGGGUGCUCGAGUGGCGAAAGGGUGAGUAACACGUGAGUAACCUGCCCUUGACUUUGGGAUAACUUCAGGAAACUGGGGCUAAUACCGGAUAGGAGCUCCUGCUGCAUGGUGGGGGUUGGAAAGUUUCGGCGGUUGGGGAUGGACUCGCGGCUUAUCAGCUUGUUGGUGGGGUAGUGGCUUACCAAGGCUUUGACGGGUAGCCGGCCUGAGAGGGUGACCGGCCACAAUGGGACUGAGAUACGGCCCAGACUCCUACGGGAGGCAGCAGUGGGGAAUAUUGCACAAUGGGCGGAAGCCUGAUGCAGCAACGCCGCGUGCGGGAUGACGGCCUUCGGGUUGUAAACCGCUUUCGCCUGUGACGAAGCGUGAGUGACGGUAAUGGGUAAAGAAGCACCGGCUAACUACGUG
rnacentral:rRNA from 1 species